GACGAACCGUCCUAACGUUGUUCGGAUUCACUGGGCUUAAAGGGCGCGUAGGCGGGUGAGCAAGUCCGGGGUGAAAUCUUUCGGCUUAACCGGAAAACUGCCUUGGAUACUGCUCGUCUAGAGGGAGGUAGGGGUCUGUGGAACUUCCGGUGGAGCGGUGAAAUGCGUUGAUAUCGGAAGGAACGCCGGUGGCGAAAGCGACGGACUGGACCUCUUCUGACGCUGAGGCGCGAAAGCUAGGGUAGCGAACGGGAUUAGAAACCCCCGUAGUCC
rnacentral:rRNA from 1 species